ACUCCUACGGGAGGCAGCAGUGGGGAAUAUUGGACAAUGGGCGGAAGCCUGAUCCAGCAACGCCGCGUGAGGGAUGACGGCCUUCGGGUUGUAAACCUCUUUCACCGAUGGCGAAGCCGCUUCUUUUUGGGGUGGUGACGGUAGUCGGAGAAGAAGCACCGGCCAACUACGUGCCAGCAGCCGCGGUAAUACGUAGGGUGCGAGCGUUGUCCGGAAUUACUGGGCGUAAAGCGCAUGCAGGCGGCCUGUUAAGUCAGAUGUGAAAGCCCGGGGCUUAACCUCGGAAUUGCAUUUGAAACUGGCAGGCUAGAGUCUUGUAGAGGGGGUAGGAAUUUCAUGGUGUAGCGGUGAAAUGCAGUAGAGAUCUGAAGGAAUACCAGUGGCGAAGGCGGCCCCUGGACCAAAGACUGACGCUCAGAUGCGAAAGCGUGGGGAGCAAACAGGAUUAGAUACCCUGGUAGGCUCUGC
rnacentral:rRNA from 1 species